GGUGGUUCAGUGGUAGAGCACUUGCCUUGCAUGCAUGAGGCCCUGAGUUCAAUUCCUCAGUACCA
rnacentral:tRNA from 1 species